rnacentral:rRNA from 1 species
GACGAACGCUGGCGGCGUGCUUAACACAUGCAAGUCGAACGGUGAAGGUGGAGCUUGCUCCGCCGGAUCAGUGGCGAACGGGUGAGUAACACGUGGGCAACCUGCCCCUCACUUCGGGAUAACUCCGGGAAACCGGGGCUAAUACCGAAUACGACCUCCUUGGGCAUCCCGGGAGGUGGAAAGUUUCUCGGUGAGGGAUGGGCCCGCGGCCUAUCAGCUUGUUGGUGAGGUAACGGCUCACCAAGGCGACGACGGGUAGCCGGCCUGAGAGGGCGACCGGCCACACUGGGACUGAGACACGGCCCAGACUCCUACGGGAGGCAGCAGUGGGGAAUAUUGCGCAAUGGGCGAAAGCCUGACGCAGCAACGCCGCGUGCGGGAUGAAGGCCUUCGGGUUGUAAACCGCUUUCAGCAGGGAAGAAGCCGCAAGGUGACGGUACCUGCAGAAGAAGCACCGGCUAACUACGUGCCAGCCGCCGCCGUAA